UACGUAGGGUGCAAGCGUUGUCCGGAAUUAUUGGGCGUAAAGAGCUCGUAGGCGGCUCAUCGCGUCAACCGUGAAAACCAGCAGCUCAACUGUUGGCUUGCGGUUGAUACGGGUGGGCUGGAGUUCGGUAGGGGAGACUGGAAUUCCUGGUGUAGCGGUGAAAUGCGCAGAUAUCAGGAGGAACACCGGUGGCGAAGGCGGGUCUCUGGGCCGAUGACUGACGCUGAGGAGCGAAAGCGUGGGGAGCGAACAGG
rnacentral:rRNA from 1 species